AGCCUAGUGCUUCGUUUUGUGAAAGGCCAAUUUCAUGAAUUUCAAGAGAGUACCAUUGGGGCUGCUUUUCUAACCCAAACUGUAUGUCUUGAUGACACUACAGUAAAGUUUGAAAUAUGGGAUACAGCUGGUCAAGAACGAUACCAUAGCCUAGCACCAAUGUACUACAGAGGAGCACAAGCAGCCAUAGUUGUAUAUGAUAUCACAAAUGAGGAGUCCUUUGCAAGAGCAAAAAAUUGGGUUAAAGAACUUCAGAGGCAAGCAAGUCCUAACAUUGUAAUAGCUUUAUCAGGAAACAAGGCCGACCUAGCAAAUAAAAGAGCAGUAGAUUUCCAGGAAGCACAGUCCUAUGCAGAUGACAAUAGUUUAUUAUUCAUGGAGACAUCCGCUAAAACAUCAAUGAAUGUAAAUGAAAUAUUCAUGGCAAUAGGUAAGAUUAAUAUCUCUUUUAAAAUGAUCAAUAUAAGCAAAACAAGUGUGAAGCAUAUUUGGUUUGACUGUCUCUUUUUUAAAAAUUUUUGGGGAUGGGUUUGUGUGUGUGAGAGAGAAAAAGAUUAUAUCACUUUUCUAAGUCCCUUCCACAAAGCAAUAUUUUGUUGGUAAUAUUGUUAAAUUUGAAAGAUGAUUACCUAUUAGGUUGUAAUACUGUCAGUUUAGGCAGCUUCUUCCAGGUGAGUUAAGCCUUAACCUUAACCUGAUAGUUCAAACAGAUAGAUUUUGCAAAGGUUUCGCUGGGAAAUUUGGAUAAAUAUGUUUUUUUUUAAUUAGGUUAUACUUUUUAAAAAUCAAAUUAAUGGUAAAUAUAACUCAAAAGAACGUGACACAUAAGUAUACAGAUUGACAAAUUAUUUUAAUGUAAACAUUAUAAGGAAGAUGAUUUCAGAGCAUAGAGGCAUAAGGA
rnacentral:sRNA from 1 species